AUUGAACGCUGGCGGCAGGCUUAACACAUGCAAGUCGAGCGGAGAUGAGGUGCUUGCACCUUAUCUUAGCGGCGGACGGGUGAGUAAUGCUUAGGAAUCUGCCUAUUAGUGGGGGACAACAUUCCGAAAGGAAUGCUAAUACCGCAUACGUCCUACGGGAGAAAGCAGGGGAUCUUCGGACCUUGCGCUAAUAGAUGAGCCUAAGUCGGAUUAGCUAGUUGGUGGGGUAAAGGCCUACCAAGGUGACGAUCUGUAGCGGGUCUGAGAGGAUGAUCCGCCACACUGGGACUGAGACACGGCCCAGACUCCUACGGGAGGCAGCAGUGGGGAAUAUUGGACAAUGGGGGGAACCCUGAUCUAGCCAUGCCGCGUGUGUGAAGAAGGCCUUAUGGUUGUAAAGCACCUUAAGCGAGGAGGAGGCUACUGAGACUAAUACUCUUGGAUAGUGGACGUUACUCGCAGAAUAAGCACCGGCUAACUCUGUGCCAGCCGCCGCAGUAAAAC
rnacentral:rRNA from 1 species